rnacentral:sRNA from 1 species
UGCUGGCGAGACGUUGGGCACGCGACACCACUUGAGUGUUUGUUAUUACUAAUCCCUUCCUGGUUUUGAGGCUUGGCUCUGGGUCUGGGAAUCUACAUUUCAAUGUGGGUAAAGCUGGUUCUUUGACAUUCUGGAGAGGAAUACAAUGGAAUUUCUAGUGUACCAGGUAUAUACCCGAAUUUAUUCCUGCAUAGGACCUGUCUGUAUGCUGACUACGGAAUACACUCAAGAGCCACAACAGGAAGCAGACGGCCCAACUGGGAGAUUGCUUCAGUCUCAUAAUUGGGAGUCUCAUCAAUACAAGUAGGCAGAGUGGCAGAAAUGUUGUCUGUGUUGAUAUUACAUCGGUGAAGUAGAACAAGACUAAAGGAAAGGCUGGCUCCAGAAUUUACCAUGGCUAUUGGGUGGACAUGCUCACACAGGGAAGAGUCCAGCUGUGCCUUUGGAUGGGCCUGGAACUUCAUCUGUGGAAUGAGGAAAUCCAUUCCUGUGGUGGACAUUUGACUGAAGGACCACAUGUGAAGUGCCCCAAUCCUGCUCACUCGUGCAGUCCUUAUAAGUAGCCCUGAGUUUCAGCUCUAUCUGUCUUUUCUUCCCUUUUUCCUCCCUCCCUCCCUUUCCCCCCUCUCUCCAUCUUUCUUUCAAAUGUUGGCCAGCACCUUUUCUGGCAUUUUGAGCUUUCUCACUCUUUCUCUAAAGGUCUAUCCCACUCCCUUCACAUGCUUGAUAUCUGACAAGUGGCUAACCUCCAGGACAGCUUAACAUACUGCAUGAUUUUCCCCCUUCUCUUCCCCAUUCUCCUUCUCUGGGUACCAACUGAGAUUUACAGUUUGGCUUCCCCAGGGUUUGUAUUUUUAAAGUCUAAUAAAAUUGUUUUCCUUGAA